rnacentral:rRNA from 1 species
GGCUCAGAUUGAACGCUGGCGGAAUGCUUUACACAUGCAAGUCGAACGGCAGCACGGGUGCUUGCACCUGGUGGCGAGUGGCGAACGGGUGAGUAAUGCGUCGGAACGUACCGAGUAAUGGGGGAUAACGCAGCGAAAGUUGUGCUAAUACCGCAUACGCCCUGAGGGGGAAAGUGGGGGACCGCAAGGCCUCACGUUAUUCGAGCGGCCGACGUCUGAUUAGCUAGUUGGUGGGGUAAAGGCCUACCAAGGCGACGAUCAGUAGCGGGUCUGAGAGGAUGAUCCGCCACACUGGGACUGAGACACGGCCCAGACUCCUACGGGAGGCAGCAGUGGGGAAUUUUGGACAAUGGGCGCAAGCCUGAUCCAGCCAUUCCGCGUGAGUGAAGAAGGCCUUCGGGUUGUAAAGCUCUUUCGGCAGGAACGAAACGGCGGGCUCUAACAUAGCCUGUUACUGACGGUACCUGCAGAAGAAGCACCGGCUAACUACGUGCCAGCAGCCGCGGUAAUACGUAGGGUGCGAGCGUUAAUCGGAAUUACUGGGCGUAAAGCGUGCGCAGGCGGAUUGUUAAGCAAGACGUGAAAUCCCCGGGCUUAACCUGGGAAUGGCGUUUUGAACUGGCAGUCUAGAGUGCGUCAGAGGGGGGUGGAAUUCCACGUGUAGCAGUGAAAUGCGUAGAGAUGUGGAGGAACACCGAUGGCGAAGGCAGCCCCCUGGGAUGACACUGACGCUCAUGUACGAAAGCGUGGGUAGCAAACAGGAUUAGAUACCCUGGUAGUCCACGCCCUAAACGAUGUCA